UGGGGUAUAUUGCACAAUGUGCGCAAGCCUGAUGCAGCCAUGUCGCGUGUGUGAAGAAUGCCUUCGGGUUGUAAAGCACUUUCAGCGGGGAGGAAGGCGGUGAGGUUAAUAGCCUCAUCGAUUGACGUUACCCGCAGAAGAAGCACCGGCUAACUCCGUGCCAGCAGCCGCGGUAAUACGGAGGGUGCAAGCGUUAAUCGGAAUUACUGGGCGUAAAGCGCACGCAGGCGGUUUGUCAAGUCGGAUGUGAAAUCCCCGGGCUCAACCUGGAAACUGCAUUCGGAACUGGCAGGCUAGAGGCUUGUAGAGGGGGGUAGAAUUCCAGGUGUAGCGGUGAAAUGCGUAGAGAUCUGGGGGAAUACCGGUGGCGAAGGCGGCCCCCUGGAAAAAGACUGACGCUCAGGUGCGAAAGCGUGGGGAGCAAACAGG
rnacentral:rRNA from 1 species